CUUUCGGACCCAAAAAAACCGCCUGAAAUGUGGUCGUAUUUUCAGAUGUUUCUCCAAUAGUCAUCUCUUUGGGCAACAGAUUUUCUGAGGCUGUCCAAAAGGAAAUUAUCAUUGAUGAAUGGAUAAAGAAGAUGUGGCACGUAUAUACAGUAGAAUACUACUCAGCCAUAAAAAGAGUGAAAUAAUGCCAUUUGCAGCAACAUGGAUGGACCUAGAGAUUACCAUACUAACUGAACAGGUGUGAGCACCCUACUGUGAAGGAAUGCCGUGUUACAAUGUAGGUCAAGAUUUAACCAACUGUGAAAAACAAAUAAACAAACUAUAAAAAUCAUCAUAAGUUCGUGCUGUGAUCUUCUGGAGUGUACAAUCUAAAAGAAGUAUACCUUACUGUUAUUCUUCAAUGCUAAACUACGUGGCCAAAAAGCAAAUCAAUUUGGAGUGGAAAAUGGUCCAUAUGCAUCUCAAUAAAAGCAAUUUUAUCUACUUAUAUAACAGCUUAUACAUUCUCCUAAUGAUGAAAUAAAGCAUGUGAGGCAAGGUGGCAUUUGAAAUAGAGUUUAUAACAUGAAUUAUUGGGAGAAUGUACAGUAUUUUCUAGUAAGUACUUAACAGUGUCAUCAACUAGCACUGCUAAUUUAUAUUCAAGAAAUGUAUUAUGUGUUUUC